rnacentral:rRNA from 1 species
UGGCGGACGGGUGAGUAACGCGUGGAAAACCUGCCGUAUACUGGGGGAUAACACUUAGAAAUAGGUGCUAAUACCGCAUAAGCGCACAGCUUCGCAUGAAGCGGUGUGAAAAACUCUGGUGGUAUACGAUGGUUCCGCGUCUGAUUAGCUAGUUGGUGGGGUAAUGGCCCACCAAGGCAACGAUCAGUAGCCGGCCUGAGAGGGUGAACGGCCACAUUGGGACUGAGACACGGCCCAAACUCCUACGGAAGGCAGCAG